UACGAAGGGGGCUAGCGUUGCUCGGAAUCACUGGGCGUAAAGCGCACGUAGGCGGAUUGUUAAGUCGGGGGUGAAAUCCUGGAGCUCAACUCCAGAACUGCCUUCGAUACUGGCGAUCUUGAGUCCGGGAGAGGUGAGUGGAACUCCGAGUGUAGAGGUGAAAUUCGUAGAUAUCUGGAGGAACACCGGUGGCGAAGGCGGCGUCCUGGACCAACACUGACACUGAUGAGCGAAAGCCAGGGGAGCAAACGGG
rnacentral:rRNA from 1 species